rnacentral:rRNA from 1 species
AGAGUUUGAUUAUGGCUCAGGACGAACGCUGGCGGCGUGCUUAACACAUGCAAGUCGAACGGGGACAGUGGAACGGAAGGCUUCGGCCGGAAGAGAAACUGUUCGAGUGGCGGACGGGUGAGUAACGCGUGAGCAAUCUGUCCCUGACAGGGGGAUAACACUUGGAAACAGGUGCUAAUACCGCAUAGGACCACAGUACCGCAUGGUACAGGGGUGAAAAGGAGCAAUCCGGUUGGGGGUGAGCUCGCGUCCGAUUAGCCAGUUGGCGGGGUAACGGCCCACCAAAGCGACGGUCGGUAGCCGGACUGAGAGGUUGAACGGCCACAUUGGAACUGAGAGACGGUCCAAACUCCUACGGGAGGCAGCAGUGGGGAAUAUUGGGCAAUGGGCGAAAGCCUCGACCCAGCAACGCCGCGUGAGUGAAGAAGGCCCUCGGGUUGUAAAGCUCUGUUAUGAGGGACGAAGGAAGUGACGGUACCUCAUAAGGAAGCCCCGGCUAACUACGUGCCAGCAGCCGC